rnacentral:lncRNA from 1 species
CCGGCCCGGAGCUUCCGGCGCUCGCUCGAGGCCCAAGUCGAGGCCCGGCCGCCCCGCGCCGCCACCUGCCCUCCGGCUUCGGGCGCUGUGGCCCCCGACUUCCUGUUAUUAAUGUUUUUUAAAAGAAAAAAAAUAUUUGGUGAAGCUGCCCCAUUCAAAGCCACCACCCGCAGCCCGAAUGAGACCACAAAGCGGGGGACACAGAUGGGACUUGGCCACAGACACCCUGAAAAGUCAAACUCGCAUCGGGGAAAAUACUUCCAGAGAGUGUUUUCUUGGACAGGAAAAAAAAGGACCCUCUGCCUCACAUUGUCGAAAACACCAGCAGCAGGUAAGAAAAGCAAACUCACACAGAGGCUUCUGCACGAGGGCCAUGCUAUGCAGCACAUAAGAAAAGCAGCAGGCAUCUUUGGGGAUUAAGGAUCUCAAGGUUCUUACAGUCGAGGAGGCCAUCUGGAAAGAGGUUAUUUCAUUCGCCACACCCUCAAAGUUGGCCCUGUUAGCAAGUGUAAUGGGACUUUUUUCAGUUUCAUAAAAUAUCUUGAUAACUGGAAAGUGCCAGUUAAUGGUAGCCUGUUCCAACUAUGAAUUUCACAAAGAUUAAUAUACCCCUUUAGGUUUCUUAAGAUUCUAUCAGGAGGCCUCCCUUAGUCUUGGGUGUUUUACAAUCUCUGUGGGCAUGAGGCUCAACUGAAACUACCAUUCAACAGCCUGUCAUCUUCAUCUGCUUCUGGCAUAAAAAUACAUAUUUUUUCCCAUAAUAAAGAUUUUUUAUAAUAGCA